AUUUAGAUGCACGAAUUCAUGAUAAUUAAUCAAUUAGAAAUCAAAAACACAUAAGAACAUGCUACUGCCCCAAAACCUAAAUCACGAAAUCAUCAUAUAUUCAAGAAGUUACAAAUCAAAACAUAGAACAAUCAAAGAUCACAAAGAAAUCCGAAAACCAUGUUUGAUAAAUAAAACCAAAAUCGAAAAGUAUAUUACAAUAGAGUUCGAAACUAUACAGAAAAUAAUACAAGAAGCCAUGAGAAAAUCACACUUUUACAACCUUGAAAGGUUCGGCAAGUGUGGGGAAAAUCGGUGGAAGGAUGGAAUGAUUCUUAUGGUUUGUGGUGGAUGAAUCGGCUAAGUAAUUUUCUGUAUAGGGUUUGGUAGAGUUUCGGCUAUGUAAUUGCAAGAGUAGAGAUGAUGUUUUUCUGCUCUUGAAGUCGUGUUUUAUAUAGAGGAAAAACCCUAGAGAAGUCGGCCACAAAGCCUAAACCAAGUUGGUUUAGGAUUCCUAGUUCUUCUCAAUUUCGGCAGAAUGACCUCCGUCUGAUGAUUACUUCAUAACUCCCUCUAGAAAAUAGAUAUUGAGGUGAUUCCAAUUGAUUCGGAAACUAGACUCCCGUAGCUCUCUAUCCAUAUCUGGCACGUUUUCUGAUUCAUUGUGAGCUGUCCUGGAGAGUCCGUUAAAGUUGACAGACGUGCACAGGAAUUCUCCCGAUUUAAUCUGGAUUUGCAAGGCUUGGAUAUUCUUGAAAUUCUGCCGAAUUUAUAUCUUCUUCUCCAUAUUGGACUUGGUUUGGACCUCUCAUUCAUGGACUAGGCUUCGUGGAUCAGCUGCUUUGCUUCCCUAGGUCCAUCAGGAACACUCCUCUCGGCACUCUUCUACAUGUCACCUAAGUAUCAGAGAAGUUAAAUCAAUCUGUGACAAUGUAAAAGCUUUACAGAAUCAUAAGAACAUCUCUAAGACUCCACAAUCGGCUUUUGACAAUUUUCUACAUCAUUCCUCUAUGUUUAACACGUUUUACGCACAACUCUACCAAAAACUUUCGACUCUACAUUAUGACUCUAUUCUACGACAAUAAGAGAUAAUCAAAGUACAAAUGGAGGUAAUAACAUAUUAAGAAUGUC
rnacentral:lncRNA from 1 species